GACGAACGCUGGCGGCGUGCUUAACACAUGCAAGUCGAGCGGUACGGCCCUUCGGGUUUCGCGAGCGGCGAACGGCUGGGUAACACGUGAGUAAUCUGCUCAUCACUUCGGUCUAACUCCGGGCCACCGGUGCUAAUCCCAAAUCUGACCAUUUAACGCCUCGGCUGGUGGUGGGUAGUUCCGGCGGUGAUGGAUGAGCUUGCGGCCUGUCCGCUUGAGGUUGGGGUAGGGGCCACCCACGGCUUCGACGGGUAGCCGGCGUGAGAGGGUGACCGGCGACACUGGGACUGAGACACGGCGCGAGCUCCUACGGGAGGCAGCUGUGGGGAAGGUUGAACAAUGGGCGAAAGACUGAUCGAGCAACGCCGCGGGAGGGAUGACGGCCUUCGGGUUGUAAACCUCUUUCAGCAGGGACGAAGCGCAAGUGACGGUACCUGCAGAAGAAGCACCGGCCAACUACGUG
rnacentral:rRNA from 1 species